GACGCUGGCGGCGUGCCUAACACAUGCAAGUCGAGCGGAGUCGGUAAGAGGAAGUUUUCGGAUGGAAUCUUAUUGAUUUAGCGGCGGACGGGUGAGUAACGCGUGAGCGACCAACCUUGCACAGGGGGAUAACGGACCGAAAGGUUCACUAAUACCGCAUGAGACCACGGUGUUGCAUGACACAGAGGUCAAAGGAGCAAUCCGGUGCAAGACGGGCUCGCGUCCGAUUAGGUAGUUGGAGGGGUAACGGCCCACCAAGCCUAUGAUCGGUAGCCGACCUGAGAGGGUGAUCGGCCACAUUGGAACUGAGAUACGGUCCAAACUCCUACGGGAGGCAGCAGUGGGGAAUAUUGGGCCAAUGGGGGAAACCCUGACCCAGCAACGCCGCGUGAAGGAAGAAGGUUUUCGGAUUGUAAACUUCUGUCCUUGGUGAAGAGAAGAAGACGGUAGCCAAGGAGGAAGCCCCGGCUAACUACGUGCCAGCCGCCGC
rnacentral:rRNA from 1 species